rnacentral:rRNA from 1 species
GGAUUGACGUGGCGGUCGUGCCUUAAGGGGUAUGAACUGUCGCAGUUGAUUUCUCACCUUCUGGAGAAGCAUGAUGUCCUUAAUUGGGUGUCAUGUGGAACCAGGACCUUUACCUUGAAAAAAUUAGAGUGUUUAAAGCAGGCUAACGCUUGAAUACAUUAGCAUGGAAUAAUAGAAUAGGACGGCAUGGUUUUAUUUUGUUGGUUUCUAGGAUCACCGUA